GAUUCACCAUCUCUAUAUGUUGAUCUUGAAACUCCACCCCUAUCAUCUGAUCCGUACAAGUAGGAAAACUACUUCUAAAUUGAGCCUUUUUUGUGGCUUUGUCUUCCACAUCUUCAGAUGUUGAAACAGUAGGACAAGAACUUGAAGAGUCUAUUUUUUCGUGAAGCAAAAAUUUAAAUCCCUUAUUCUGAAAACCAAUGUUGGCUUUUAUACCCCGUUAUUUAUUUAUACGUUUUCCAUUAAAAAAGUUAAAUCAAUUAAUGGCACCUUGCCAUGUGUCAAUAAAAGUAAAAAAAAAUCUUAAAUGUUAAAAAAAUUAGAAAAAUUAAAUUUUUUUGAUAAAAUUAGACUGGUAUUAAAAAAAGAAAAGGAAAACACCCAAAUGGGCAGGUCAUAAACCAAGAGCCCAAACAAAGGCAAAACAAAUGAGCUAUGAACAAGGCCUACCUAAAAAACAAAACAAAAAAACAAAACAAAUAUAAAACAAUAAACACCCCAAUCUGAUUCAAAUCUGGCAUCCACCCAAGAUCAUUCAGUGUAAAUACCGACGAUUCCAGUCCCCAGGAAGUAGUUUCCAAAAAGCAACAGACCAUCAUUUACUUCCUUUUUCUCUCCCUAAAACCCAAACAUCUUCCACAAUUGACCUUCAAUCUGGUUCUCUCCUUCUAUACGGCCCAUCAUCCACCGCGUCUCGCUCAGGCAGUCCCCCGAGAAGGUAAGUCCGUGUCCCAUUUCUUAUGGCUUCUCUGGCUAAUUCGUGAGCCAUUAUAUUUGUUGAUCUAGGUAUAUGUUUGAAUGAAAUCUGAUGGAAGAAUCAUUUUUGACGUUGUAUGUUUUUUUAUUAACGCCCCUAUCUUUGAUCUGUCCACGCUAUCUGACUAACUUUUCUUUAUUAUUGAAACUGAAUCCCCUUCAAUAGCAACUAAUGAAAAUCCUUUUCGUUUCCCCAACAAAAUUGCUUGGAGACAUGUAUGUGCCUCUGCUGCGAACGAAGAAGCAACUCCCCUGUGUACCAUUGUUUUAGAGGCAAGAAUCUCUCCAGAAGAAUUUCUCGCUACCACCUUUGAGGCCGAUAAGGCCUGUGCCUCAUCAAAGGCCGCAUCAAAAUUUACUUUAAUGUCGGACCCAUUCGGGGGACACCAUUCAAUAGCUACGGUUUCUUUGGUCAGUUUACUAUUCUCACACUCGUCAAUUUCCUUGGCAUAUCUUGAAACCCAUGUAUCAAUAUCACGGCCCCUACUUCUCUUCCCCUCAAAUAACCCCUUAUUUCUAUCGGUCCAAAUCGUCCACAAGGAGUAGCAGAAUAAGCGACACUGCGACCCAGUAUAGUUUUUGAAUACCCAGGUAAGCCAUUCCCAACAGUUCAUGUUGAUUCAUGUUAAUAUCCAUUCGAGAUUUAAACUUAUCCAGACCUCUAUUGUAACAGGACAGUCACGUACCAGGUGGUCAACAUUCUCAGCAACCCCUCCACAUCUUGGGCAUGCAGUCUCCGUCACCAGUCUUUUAAUGGAUAAAUUAGCUAGAUUAAGGAUGAAAUUCCAGGAAACUUUCCAAAUGAAAAUCUUAAGCUAAAAUAUUGCUGUUCCAUAGGUUUUUUUGUAGAAGCUUUUCAUUUCGGUUUGUAAAUAAGUAGGAUUAGUAUUACCCUUAUGUAAUAGUUUGUAGGCACUUCGCACCGAAAAUUCCCCUUAAGAUUCUCCCCCCCACACCAUCAUAUCCUCGUGUGCUUCCAUGGCCAAGGGGAUUUUCAAAAUUCUAUCUGCAUCGUCCCUUGAGAAGGUAGAAUUAAUAAGCUCAAUUUUCCAUUCACGUAUUUGUGCAUUAAUUAAAUCAGAAACCAACCUGACCUAGCUGUUACAAGUAUUUGUUGAUACUUUAUUGUUUGCAGUCCCCGAAAGCCAAGCAUCAAUCAAAAUUGAAAUUUUCUCCCCAGUUUCAACCCUUCAAUACAAUCCGCUCUUCAACAAGCCCUUAGCAGCCCACACAUUCCAGGUAAACGAAGGUAGAUUUCCUAACUCAGCGUUUAAAAAAUCAGUAUUCAGAAAAUACUUGGCUUCUAGGACUCGCGACAAUAAUGAAUUUGGACGAUUAAUAAUGUGCCACCCUUGCUUUGCUAAUCGUGCAACAUUAAACUUGGUCAGGCUACGAAAUCCUAAUCCCCCAUUUUCCUUUAAUUAACAAAGUCGAUCCCACCCACACCAAUGAAUCUCCUACUAUGACCUUUUUGCCACAAGAAACAAGCUAUUAUAUUUUCUAAAUCACCGCAUAAAGAUUUUGGCAACAAGAAACAUGCCAUAGAAUAAGUCAGAAUAGCUUGAAGAACCGCCUUUAUAAAGACCUCUUUUCCCCCUUGCGAGAGAAGUCAGACAUUCCAAUUCUCAAUCCUUUGCCUCAUGCGAUCUUUUAAAAUCUAAAAAGAAGCUUUCUUAUUUUUUCCCACUACAUUUGGCAAUCCAAGAUAACGUUCCAUAUUAUUCGAAUGUCUACCCCAAGAAUAUAAAAAAAUAGCUUCUCGUAUCACUGUAGAAGUUUUAUAACUAUAAAAAAUAAUGGAUUUUUCGUAAUUCACACAUUGCCCCGAGCAAUUCUUGUAUUCUCUCAAAAUUAACUUCAAAAUUGUCUCACCCCUCUCACUUGCUUCACCGAACAAUAUGCAAUCAUCAGUAAAUAAUAAGUGUGAAAUCGGAGGACUAUUUCUACUAACUAUAGCACCCUUAAUCAAACCUUCCCUCAGAGCGAGCCUCAUAAGCAAUGAGAGACUCUCUUUGCAUUUCAAAAAUAGAAAAGGACUAAGAGGAUCACCUUGUCGAAGACUUGUUGUCGGUUUAAAUUUUGCCCCUGUUUUCCCGUUCACAAUAACAGAAUAAGAGAGUUAAAAUACAUUUCAUAAUAAUCUCAACCCAC
rnacentral:lncRNA from 1 species